rfam:Cricetulus griseus cell line CHO-K1, whole genome shotgun sequence.
CCUGCCUCUGGGCUCCGAUCGGUCCUCCAGAGCGCGCGCCACCAUCGCCAAAGCCAGGUCGGCCUCCGCUCGGCUGCCGCCUCUCUACUACCCAUUACAAUGCUCGCCCAAAGCGCGAUGGCGGCGGAUUGCACGCGAGCAGGUACACACGGUAGAAACACCAGAGACGGCGAA